AGACAGACCGAUAACAAGAGAACAGCUGAUCGAUAAUUACUCCUCAGACUGAAGUUUAAACUUUAUUAAACUGUAUUUAGAGACAAAAACACAACAACAACGUUAAUAAACAAAUUUGACCUGUAAAAUAUAAAUAAUGUCUGGUGUUUAUGUAAAUAAAACCUUUAGUUUAUGUUGUGAUUCAAUUAUCAGUUAAAAUAAUAAAGGUAAAAUAAUAUUUAUUUAUAUUUAUUUAUUCUAUAUUUAGUAUAUAUUUAUAUUUAUUUAUAUAUUUAUAACCUAGCACCGCUGAGCUAACAUCAGCUAGCAGCCAUGAAGUCUGUUGACAGCUUCUUGUUUCCUGUUUUCAGGAGGAAGGAAACAGCAGAAGGAUUGUGUGUCCUCUUGACCCCAAACACACCGUGAGUAAAGACAAACUGGAGAAACACCUGAAGAAGUGUAACUCCAGAGAGAAACCCAAACCUGUUUAUUAUGUGGAGAAUAUAAACUCUGGAUCAGCUGAUGCAGACGAGACGCUGCAACAGGUGAGUCUGUCUGAACGCAGUCGGACACAGUUGGAGUCUCUGCUGGACAAACUGAAAACUGCAGUCAGAGGUGAGGAAUGUCCUGUGAGUCAUAAACUGUAGUUGUUGAUGUUGUUGAUGAUGUUGUUGAUGUUGUUGUUGUUGUUGUUGUUGUUCUG